UUUAAAUGGCAGCAAUAGAACCAGUCACCUUGGAAACAAACAUCACCCAGUGUUUGCAGAACAAACAAUGGUACCUUUUCAGCCAGUACCAAGCAGGCAGGCCAAGGGACAGCCAAGCAAUUCUGGGCCGUACAGGAGUUUUAACAUAUUGCAUUCAUUCAAUGCACCAAAAAGUAGUUCAGUGCUGAAAAUGAAGCGCUCGAAAACGUGUGAAGCUUUGGCUAGAAACCACAGACAAAGCCAGGAAGGCUGGAAGGCCGACAAGGCUACCCUUAGUUAGAAGAAAAUCCUUUCAUUAUUUUUGGAAUUGUUUUUACACACCUCGUGAAUGAGGUAAACAACACUCUUGUCACUGAGAAUUACCUUCUCUGGCAACUGCAGACCGAACGAAAAUGACGACCGAGAGCAGCUGGGGCAAAUGAGUCCUACAGUUUAGGCCAGCUUCAAUUUCUCGGGAAAACAAGCAUCUGAGUAUUUAGAUGGUUCGUUUCAUCUGCCUGUUCAAACUCCAGCAAUGCACACGCGUGCCACACUCACGUUAGGGAACCAUAGAGGGUCGCCUGAACGCCAGCUUCCAAGACAACCAACUCCCCAAACACAGCCUGGUCUGUACCCAGCCCAUGGCAGUGACUGCCCUCUGCCUAUCCACCCUCUGCUCAGGCCUCCCCCUCCCUGUACCCCAUUCCAGAAGGUGGUUCCUUUCCCCAGGGGCCUAGGGGACGGGGAGGUACCACACCUCAGCUCCCCCCCCCCCCCCCCGGCCCUGCUGCCUCCCAGGCCUUCUCUGGAAAGCUGGGGACAAGAAGAACCAGCGCUGGGCUUUGGGGAAGGACUCCCAGUGCCGAGCCAGAGACACGGGGACACCCAGGGUCAUGACCCCAGCUUGCUCAUCUCAAAGAACAUCUCAAAGAGGCAGAGCUGGGAAAGAAAGAGAAAGGAGGUGGCCCAGGUACCAGGGCAGCUUUAUCCUCUCCUGUCCCCUCAGUAUUUCUGUUAUAGUGUAAGUUUCUGUUUCACUGUCCCCUCUCCUAACCUCUUAGUGAAAUUCUGUGGGAAAUACAACAGAUCUGAUUAACAACGUGCUCUUACAAGCCACCCUAUCAUAAAGCAGUCUUGAAAGCAUCAGCAUUCAGAGCUCAAUCUAUUUUUGAAUAAAGAUAUAUAUGCUUUAACAG
ensembl:lncRNA